GGUGGGAUACUCAAGUGGCCAACGAGGGCAGACUGUAAAUCUGCUGGCUUUUGCCUUCGGAGGUUCGAAUCCUCCUCCCACCACCA
rnacentral:tRNA from 1 species